rnacentral:rRNA from 1 species
UACAGAGGUCUCAAGCGUUGUUCGGAUUCAUUGGGCGUAAAGGGUGCGUAGGUGGCGCCGUAAGUCGGGUGUGAAAUUUCGGAGCUUAACUCCGAAACUGCAUUCGAUACUGCGGUGCUUGAGGACUGGAGAGGAGACUGGAAUUCCCGGUGUAGUGGUGAAAUGCGUAGAGAUCGGGAGGAACACCUGUGGCGAAGGCGGCCGACUGGGCCGACCCUGACGCUGAGGCGCGAAGGCGUGGGGAGCGAACGGG